GACGAACGCUGGCGGCGUGCUUAACACAUGCAAGUCGAACGGAAAGGCCCUGCUUGCAGGGUGCUCGAGUGGCGAACGGGUGAGUAACACGUGGGUGAUCUGCCCCUUAUUUUGGGAUAAGCCUGGGAAACUGGGUCUAAUACUGGAUAGGACCAUGCUGUAGGUGGUGUGGUGGAGAGAUUAGUUUCGGUAAGGGAUGAGCUCGCGGCCUAUCAGCUUGUUGGUGGGGUAAUGGCCUACCAAGGCGUCGACGGGUAGCCGGCCUGAGAGGGUGGACGGCCACAUUGGGACUGAGAUACGGCCCAGACUCCUACGGGAGGCAGCAGUGGGGAAUAUUGCACAAUGGGCGCAAGCCUGAUGCAGCGACGCCGCGUGGGGGAUGACGGCCUUCGGGUUGUAAACUCCUUUCAGCCAUGACGAAGCCCUUGUGGUGACGGUAGUGGUAGAAGAAGCACCGGCUAACUACGUG
rnacentral:rRNA from 1 species